AUUUAAAUAGUUUAAUAAAAAUUUUGGCUUGUGGAGCUAAGGAUAUUCUAAUAGAAUUUUAAAUA